UACAGAGGGUGCGAGCGUUGUUCGGAAUUACUGGGCGUAAAGCGCGCGCAGGCGGCUCUUUAAGUCUCAGGGUGAAAGACCGGGGCUCAACCCCGUGUCAGCCCGGGAUACUGGGGAGCUAGGGACAUGUAGGGGCGAGCGGAAUUCCGGGUGUAGCGGUGGAAUGCGUAGAGAUCCCCAAGAACACCAGUUGCGAAGGCGGCUGACUGGACACAUAUUGACGCUGAGGCUCGAAAGCAUGGGGAGCAAACAGG
rnacentral:rRNA from 1 species